rnacentral:rRNA from 1 species
GACGAACGCUGGCGGCGUGCUUAACACAUGCAAGUCGAACGGAAAGGCCUCUUUCGGGGGGUACUCGAGUGGCGAACGGGUGAGUAACACGUGAGUAACCUGCCCUUGACUUUGGGAUAACUUCAGGAAACUGGGGCUAAUACCGGAUAGGAGCUCCUGCUGCAUGGUGGGGGUUGGAAAGUUUCGGCGGUUGGGGAUGGACUCGCGGCUUAUCAGCUUGUUGGUGGGGUAGUGGCUUACCAAGGCUUUGACGGGUAGCCGGCCUGAGAGGGUGACCGGCCACAUUGGGACUGAGAUACGGCCCAGACUCCUACGGGAGGCAGCAGUGGGGAAUAUUGCACAAUGGGUGGAAGCCUGAUGCAGCGACGCCGUGUGCGGGAUGACGGCCUUCGGGUUGUAAACCGCUUUCGCCUGUGACGAAGCGUGAGUGACGGUAAUGGGUAAAGAAGCACCGGCUAACUACGUG